UUCCGGUUGAUCCUGCCGGACCCCACUGCUAUCGAGAUGGGACUAAGGUAUGCUAGUCGAACGACCAGAACUAUGUCUGGGAGUGGCACACUGCUCAGUAACACGUAGCUAACCUACCCUUAGGACGUGGAUACCCCCGAGAAAUUGGGGUUAAUCCGCGAUAGAUGUAAUGUCCUGGAAUGGUAUUACGUCUAAAGGUAUUUCAUACAUGUUUGAAAUAUGCCUAAGGAUGGGGCUGCGGCCGAUCAGGCUGUUGGUGAGGUAAUGGCUCACCAAACCUUUGACCGGUACGGGCCAUGAGAGUGGUAGCCCGGAGAUGGACACUGAGACAAGGGUCCAGGCCCUAAGGGGCGCAGCAACCGCGGAACCUCCACAAUGCACUCACGUGCGAUGGGGCUAUCUCGAGUGCCACCUGAUGAAGGUGGCUUUUCCUUGGUCUUCAAAGCCUUGGGAAUAAGAGGGGGGCAAGACUGGUGUCAGCCGCCGCGGUAACACCAGCCCCUCGAGUGGUGGGGAUGAUUAUUUGGCCUAAAGCGUCCGUAGCCGGCCGUGAAAGUCUUCCGUUAAAUCCAGCGUCUCAAGCGUUGGACCGCGGGAGAUACUACAUGGCUAGAGAGUGGGAGAGGUCAGCGGUAUUCUGGGGGUAGGGGCGAAAUCCUUUGAUCCCCGGAGGACCACCAGUGGCGAAGGCUGCUGACUAGAACACGUCUGACGGUCAGGGACGAAAGCUGGGGUAGCGAACCGGAUUAGAUACCCGGGUAGUCCCAGCCGUAAACGAUGCAUGCUAGGUGUUGGGUUGGCCACGAG
rnacentral:rRNA from 1 species